UUUUAAAGAAAAACAAAUGCAAAUUUUUUUAAAAUUAUGACAUUUUAAACAAAAUAACUAAACCGCUCUUUAUAAAUUAUUUAAGCUGGCUCUCAAAAUACGCAAACAAUUUGCUCAUCAAGCUUUUGGUAAUUUUCCACCAGAAGACUUUCAUUCGCCCUCACCUCAACGAGCCCCAAGUCCUCCCGUUUCUACACAACAUCACAAUAUGGGUGGCCCACCAGCCCCUACCUCAUCAAAUAACCCACCAGAGGGUCAAACAUAUUGUUUAAGAUGGAAUAAUCACAAAUCGAAUUUGGUUGAGAUACUCGAUGCUCUCAUUAAAGUGGAAAGUUAUGUGGACUGUACCAUUGUUGUGGAUGAUCAAGUACAAUUUAAAGCUCAUCGUGUUGUCUUGGCUGCCAAUUCGCCGUAUUUUCAGUCUAUUUUACAAGAUUUACCCAUGGAUCAUUGUAGCAUUAUAUUUCCGGGUGUUAAGGCAUUUGAAAUGCGCGCCUUAUUGGAAUAUAUGUAUACGGGUGAGGUAAAUGUUACCCAAAGUCAAAUACCCAAAAUAAUGCGUAUAGCUGAGGAAUUGGAAGUCAAGGGUCUUUUUGAUAUGGCUGACUUGAAGGAGAAAUUCAAUAAACUCAGUGAGGAGCAUGCUGAAAGAUCGGCUAGUAAUCCUUAUGCAAGCACAUCGGCUCCUUCGAAUCCCUAUUCCUCGGUUACCACCACUUCAUCACCCACCGCUGGUCUAACACAUAACAAACCUUGCGCCAAGGAUUCUGAUAACUACCGUCACAAUUCCUCCUCCGUGAUCUCUACCUCUACAAAUAUUUCUCCCUCAGCUGCCCCGUCCAGCAGUUCGUCACCGCCCUAUAGUAGUUACAAAUCUCCCUAUACCAGUUUAUAUAACAAAUCACCUGCGCCCUCUGCUAAUCCCUCAUCCGCCUCAGCCUCCGCCCAGCCUCAAUCCACACAACAAACUGCCAGCAAUUUAACACCCACCUCAGAACGUUCGUCUGCUCAAUGGCCUUUGUCUCCUUCGGCUGCGGCUGCUGCUGCCAUGUUGAGUUCUGUUUAUGAAUCGGCUCCCGAUAUGAAUCCCUUAAAACGUAAAAAGUUAUCCUCUAUGUCCAGCAUGUUAAUGAAUCGUGAUACUCCCAUAUUGCGUAAUGUUUUGGCUCAAGCCAAUCCAGCCGAUUCGUCACAACAAUUGCCUUUAUUGUUGCCUAAUGCUGGCAAUAAAGGGGACAAAUCCUCAGGUUCAGCCGACAAAAAUAAUCAUAGUUUCAAUGGUUCCGAUUAUAGUGAUAAGAAAUACCAUGAUGAGCCUCAUUCUCCCUUUACCGAUCGUUCCUUUGAGGAUGAUGGUUUCGAUCCUAAGGGCAGUAAUUUCGGUGGCAAUUUUGCUGCCAAUGGCAAUCAAAAACCCGAAUGGAAACGUUAUAAACAAUAUACCCGCAGUGAUAUUAUGUCCGCCAUCCAGUGUGUACGUGAAGGCAUGAGUGCUUUGCAGGCUUCACGCAAAUUUGGUGUACCCUCGCGCACUUUGUAUGAUAAGGUCAAGAAGUUGGGCAUUACCACCGGACGGCCCAUGAAUCGUACCAUGAAACGUAGCCCUAGUAGUGUAGAAUCCUCUGCGGCUUUCCCUUAUGCUCAUGGUUAUGGUCAAGCUUCUGCGGCAGCUGCCGCCAUGCAUGAUGCUGCCAUUAGAGAGGAACGUGAACUUAAAGAACAUCAUCGCAAUAGUGAACAUCAUCAUUUAGCCCCAACUAUACCUCAUCCUGCUGCAGCUCUCUUAGAUCAUGCUUUCUUACAGCAGGCUUUGGAAAAUCGUGGAGGUGGUGAUAUAGCAGGUAGAGAAGCUUUACAUGCUAUGGCUUUGGCAGCUGCUGCUCAUGCUGCUGCCAAUCGUAUGUCCACCAGUCCCGGACCCAAUGGCAAUGCAGUACGUUCACCCAGUCCCUCUAAUUUCGCCCUAAAAUACAAUAAUAUGCGUAAUGCCGAACAAGAGCUAAUGGAACGUCAUGAAUUGGAGCGUGAAAGAGAACGCGAACGUGAAUUUGCUGAGAGAGAACGUGAACGUGAUCAAGAUUUAGAACGUGAACGUAACGAUGAAGAAGAAGAUGAUCAUGUAGAAGAUUUAUCGGUGGCACGUAAAGAGAAUAGUAGUUCACCUUUAGAACAAAGAGAAAGACCUGAAUCUCCUUACUCACCGGGAGUAACAAAUUCUGCCGAUAAUGAUAAAACAGUAAUAAUGACCACUAAAUUACCCUCUAAUGCCAGCAGCAGUGAUGAGACUUUCAUCACAGAAUCUAAUCUCAAACGUGAGGUGGUAAUAGAUGAUGUUAGAGCCGACUGAUUGAUGCUAACCAUGGCUUGGCAAUAUGCGGCCGAUACUUGUUAUGAUGCUUUAUUUUCCUCACGUUGAGCGAGAGAGUCACACAGAGAGAGAGAGAGUGAGAUUCUUAACUCUCUGCUUAGUUGAGGUUAAUAUCUAUACAUAUGUUUGUAGGGUUUUAUAUUUUCGUUUAACAUUUUUACAAGAAAAUUAUUUUCCUAGGAAAAUAAAAUGGCGGUACAUUAGCUUUAUAUAACACAA
rnacentral:misc_RNA from 1 species